AUUGAACGCUGGCGGCGUGCCUAAUACAUGCAAGUCGACCUUAGUGGCGAACGGGUGAGUAACACGUGGGUAACCUGCCCAUCAGAAGGGGAUAACACUUGGAAACAGGUGCUACUACCGUAUAAUGAUGGAUGGUCCCGCGGUGCAUUCGCCAGUUGGUGAGGAAACGGCUGACCAAGGCCACGAUGCAUAGCCGACCUGAGAGGGUGACAGGCCACAUUGGGACUGAGACACGGCCCAAACUCCGACGGGAGGCAGCAGUAGGGAAUCUUCGGCAAUGGACGAAAGUCUGACCGAGCAACGCCGCGUGAGUGAAGAAGGUUUUCGGAUCGUAAAACUCUUUUGUUAGAGAGGCGUUAUCUAACCAGAAAGCCACGGCUAACUACGUGCCAGCAGCCGCGGUAAUAC
rnacentral:rRNA from 1 species